GUGGGGAAUAUUGCGCAAUGGGCGAAAGCCUGACGCAGCGACGCCGCGUGGGGGAUGAAUGCCUUCGGGUUGUAAACCCCUUUCAGCAGGGACGAAGCGAAAGUGACGGUACCUGCAGAAGAAGCGCCGGCUAACUACGUGCCAGCAGCCGCGGUAACACGUAGGGCGCGAGCGUUGUCCGGAAUUAUUGGGCGUAAAGAGCUCGUAGGUGGUUUGUUACGUCCGCUGUGAAAACCUAGGGCUUAACCCUGGGCUUGCAGUGGAUACGGGCAGACUAGAGGUAGGUAGGGGAGAAUGGAAUUCCUGGUGUAGCGGUGAAAUGCGCAGAUAUCAGGAGGAACACCGGUGGCGAAGGCGGUUCUCUGGGCCUUACCUGACACUGAGGAGCGAAAGCGUGGGGAGCAAACAGGAUUAGAUACCCUUGUAGUCC
rnacentral:rRNA from 1 species